AGUGAACGCUGGCGGUAGGCCUAACACAUGCAAGUCGAACGGCAGCACAGUAAGAGCUUGCUCUUACGGGUGGCGAGUGGCGGACGGGUGAGGAAUACAUCGGAAUCUACUUUUUCGUGGGGGAUAACGUAGGGAAACUUACGCUAAUACCGCAUACGACCUACGGGUGAAAGCAGGGGAUCUUCGGACCUUGCGCGAUUGAAUGAGCCGAUGUCGGAUUAGCUAGUUGGCGGGGUAAAGGCCCACCAAGGCGACGAUCCGUAGCUGGUCUGAGAGGAUGAUCAGCCACACUGGAACUGAGACACGGUCCAGACUCCUACGGGAGGCAGCAGCGGGGAAUAUUGGACAAUGGGCGCAAGCCUGAUCCAGCCAUACCGCGUGGGUGAAGAAGGCCUUCGGGUUUUAAAGCCCUUUUGUUGGGAAAGAAAAGCAGCAGGUUAAUACCCCGCUGUUCUGACGGUACCCAAAGAAUAAGCACCGGCUAACUUCGUG
rnacentral:rRNA from 1 species